rnacentral:lncRNA from 1 species
UUCCUUUUCACCCUAGCAUGCCCUAUUUCCACAAAUGAUCCAUCCGUCUGUCCAAAAAAGCCCCUCCUGUACACCCUUUUUCAGAAAGCUACGGGGCGCACGCGGGGAGUGGGAGGGGGGAGUAAGGUUUCAAUAAAACAAGGAACUAAACCAAGAAAGAACACACGGAUCCAGGGAAGGGAGAUUCCAGCCCAGGAGAAAGAGAGGUCCAGGAAUUUCGCAGGAUGACCGAGAACUCCCAAGAUAACUGCUCUGCAGAGAAGCAGAGAACGACCUUUCCAGUGGGAGCCAAGAUGAGACCGAAAGGCUGGUGGACUGGCAGGGGACGGGGACGGGGAGGCGGAGGGGCUGGCAGGGGACGGGGAGGAGGCGGUGCAGGAGGGGGUCAACAGGCAGCCUAAGGGAGCUUGAGCUCGAGGGCCCCUUCAUGGGCCUCUCAGCAGGGCCCAGGCUGCAGCAAGUCCUCACAGGAUCCCAAGCUUUGGUACAUUAUGGGAAGCGAGGCUAUUUGAAUUACCAUCACUGCAGAUGGGCAGAGUCACUUUCCACGGCUUCCCCUUCCCUCCCCUCCUGCACGCUUCCCUUCGUGGCCGGUGGCCUUUUUAACAUGCCACUAAGAAGCUGAGUUGAAACACAGUGGGGCUUGCGUCGGAGAGGGUCCCUGAUUGACGCCUCGCCAUCACGGCACCCCUCCCUAAGGUUGGCCCACCUGCCCAGGCAUGGCUUCCGGGGGUGCUGCCGCCCCUGCUCCGCCUGCGAAGACUCCCGUGACAUGAAGGUGGGCCGCGAGCCACCCUGAAGCAUGGACUUCAGUAAUAAAAAAGAAACACUCCGGAGGAAACCUCUUAUCUUCCUCUUCUCUCUAUGGAAAGUCACCGUACGACCCCCUUACCACCUGCAGAAAUAGACAAUAAGCAUGUGGCCACAAAGUGUGGGGAAGACGGAUUUCACAGGUGUUUUGAAAGAUUAUUAAAAAUAUAUCACAGGAGUUCCCUUUGUGGCUCAGCGGUUAAUGAGGAUUCGGAUUCGUUCCACCGCGCCACGAUGGGAACUCCUCAUUAAUUUUUACGCUUAAUUUUCUAUUACUAAUUUAGCAUUUCUUUCCUAAGGAGAGCUCCCCACAAUUGUGUACCUUUCAGACCCCCUGAAACCUGGAUUCAUCCCAGGGGUUUUACGGGAAAAGUACAACGGAAAUGCUGGCUAUGUGACCAGUUGGCACCUGCAGAAAAUUGUGUGGUCAGGCUGGUUACAGUUAAGGAAGACUUUGCAAUUGGUUCAAAGAAGACAAAGCAAAAUUUUAAAUGAUUAACUUCAGAAGAAACAGAAGUUGUGCAAGAAAGGGAAUGUAAUCAGAUUAUACGACUUGACUCAGCAGUGAACAAUAUUGACACAGCUAUAACCGAUACAGUCUGCAUUUGGAUUUAAGUAAAAAUUGUUGUAGACUAAACUGGACAACUGUACCCAUCUACACGAUAAAAAAUGACU